rnacentral:lncRNA from 1 species
AGGCACCGCGCGGCGCCUGCGCGUUCAGUGACCUUUCUGAGUCGUCGGUUGUGGUUGGGUUGGGGCUGCUGGAGCCGCUAGUCCUGCGCCGAGAUGCUUCAGAGCCUUAUCAAGAACGUUUGGAUCCCCUUGAAGCCCUACUACACCCAAGUUUACCAGGAGAUUUGGGUAGGAAUGGGGUUGAUGGGAUUCAUCGUCUAUAAAAUCAGGAGUGCUGGUAAGUGUCUUUGUGUCCGACUCACUAGAGGCCGGGAAGGAAACUCCUUUCACAAGGAAUCACAGGAGUUCCCGUGGUGGCUCAGUGGCUAAUGAACCCGACUAGGAACCAUGAGGUUGCGGGUUCGAUCCCUGGCCUCACUCAGUGGGUUAAGGAUCCGGUGUUGCCAUGAGCAGUGGUGUAGGUUGUAGACGCGGCUCAGAUCCCACGUUGCUGUGGCUCUGGUGUAGGCCAGCGGCUGCAGCUCUGAUUCAACCCCUAGCCUGGGGACCUCCAUAUGCCGCGGGAGCGGCCCAAGAAAUGCCAAAAAAGACAAAGAAAGAAAAGAAAAGAAACCAAACCAAAGCGAAUCACAAAUGGUAUUCAUACUGUGAAGGAACUGGGUUCUUACCCGGGAGUGAACACCAGACCCCGUGAUCCUUGUAAGCGUGAGAGCCGUGUCAGCACCAAGGGGCAGCUGCGAAGACCUUGCUGUCAGGGAAUUGUGAGUUUUCUUAGGGGGACGGUCGUGUUUAGAAUGCACAGGAGAGGCCCUCAGCUUUAAGAGACGCAGGCUGAAACACUUACGGAUGCCACGCCUGGUCCCCAGUGUCUUGUUAGACUUUCUCCACGGAUGUGAAUGUUUGAAAUACUCUGAUGGUAAAAGUUUGGUUGGGGUAACCAGUGGUUCCCAGUGGAGCAGAGACGAGGCCCACAGUAAUCAUGGAUUACUGUGAUUGGUUAAGGAGUUCCCUGGUGGAUCAGCAGAUUAAGGAUGUGGCAUGGGUUCAGUCCCUGGCCCAGGAACCUCAGCAUGGUGUGGGCAUGGCCAAGUGGCUUCGUGGGUUAAGAACCCAUCAUUGUCUUUAUGAGGAUGCAGGUUCAAUCCUUGGCCUCACCCAGUGGGUUAAGGAUCCAGCAUCGCUUCAAGCUGCAGUGUAUGUCGUAGAUGCGGCCUGGAUCCGGUGUUGCCAUGGUGGUGGCUUAGGCUGCAGCUCCCACUCCCACUCGACCCCUAGCCCGGGAACUUCCAUGUGCUGCCGGUGCAGUAUGUUAAGGAUCCGGCACUUCUAUGAGCUGUGGUGUAGGGUUGCAGACGCAGCCUGGGUCCCACGUCACUGUGGCUGUGGCGUAUGUUGCUCCGAUGCCUGGGAAUCUCCACACGCUGCAGGUGUGGCCCUGAAAAGCAAAAGAAGGGAGGGAGGAAAUGUGAUUGAUUGAACAGAGAAGAGAAAGGAGAAAACUUUAAACUGCAAGCCUGAGGUUGGGCACGUGGGGGGGAAUGAAGGGCCCUGUGGAUUCCAAAGGGCGUUUGGCUCUUCCGGGCCCACCUGCGGUGGAAGUCUGACCACUCGUUGGCUGUGCGACCCGGCAGUAACUCCGGUUUUCUGAAAGCUUCCUAUGACGCUUGACCUAAGCGAUGAACUCUUCAGCCACGUGUUGUUCUCGGUGAUGAAUUGACUAGAAACGCUUUUGAAAGCAUUGAAUUGACCAGAGUUUCUUUCCCUUUAUUUUAGAUAAAAGAAGUAAAGCCUUGAAAGCUUCCAGUCCUGCUCCUGCUCAUGGCCACCACUAACCACCUCCGCUCGGAUGGGACGUCGGCCUGGCCGCACCAUGGGAUUGUGCGUGGCACGUCACGUCCACUGGUAGCAGUGCUGCUGCCCUGCAGAAUAAACCUACCCGUGAGAUCCACCCUGCCUGCGCCGUGACCCUCCCGCCGGCCAGAGUCCCGCUGAGAAAGCCGGGGGCGGAGGGGGGAGAGCGCCAUGGGCGCAGGUGUGGGGGCGGAUCUAGGCACUCGCUCUGGUGGGCAAUAAACAUCUGUUCUGC